ACUCUAUCUGUUCUCUUUUGGUGUAAUAACCUGCUUAGUCAAAGUCUCCGAUAUAUUUCAUAAUUAUAACAUCUGUAUAUUCAUUGAUUAUACAGGCCUGAUACCUAGCGUUCUGGGCUAUACAGAGAUGAACAGUGAUCUGUGCAAAAGCAAUGCAAAUGACCAUUCUUAGAUCUUCAGAGUACUUGUCAAGAAAACCUGAGGUAGUACCCUGCUGUAGAUGGAGGUACAAUCCCUGUUGAGAGUAAUGAGCACUAUAAGCUGUUCUGUCGCUUUGCAAGAUGUUCAGCCAUUUUCCUCCAGUGGAUAGGAAGGAGAGUGAACAGGAGAUCGGGUGUAACAGUAAAACACAGAAGAAAGUAACCACAUUGCAAGAAAUUACCAGUUCAACUCUCAAGGCUAGGCUCUUAGUAUUCAGCUGCCUGAGCACCUUUCCAGAUUUGAUAGUUUCCCACCUGUGUUCAUGAUUUACUUUCUGUACCUCCUCCUGCCCCUUCCUCUCCCAAGUUCAGUCAUUGCUAUGAAACAAAGAGGUAUUCUUUGUGAUGUCACAACUGAAUUUAUGCUAGGGCAAACAAAACCGACUUGAACCAAGUUAGCUGGGCUGAGGUGAAGACACUGGAAAAGAAAGAUUUGCUUGGUCAUCUCAGGAACAGAAAAAUACAAGCCAUAAUCUACAGACGUAGGUGGAAGCUAUAUGUUUGUUAUUAGCAUUUUUCACCACCUGGAUAAAUUGGAUCAAGCAACUGACCAGUAAACAUCCAAAUAGGGAAACAAUGCAUUCCUAUUUCUUCACUUAUGAUUUGCAAACUUCAGCUGUGAAAUGCAAAUUACCUUCCAUGUAUCUGCUAGAUGCUUGCUUUCAUAAGAUCUUUUAUACAGAUCAGGGUAUCAGUUGUCUCUGCCAACAGCCAUACACGGGGAAAACUUGUAUUUUGUUAGUACUUCUGCAGUGAGGCAAAAACGCAAAAUGCAGGUACUUCCUAUCUCUACAGUGCGCAUAUUACCAUGUCCACUUGGCAAACCACUGCUUAGCUCUUGAGAAUUAAAAAAAAAACACAAAAAAAAAACCACAACAGCUAGGGGUACUGAUCUAUAUGAUCUACUCCAAAAUCAAGGCUUAAUUGCUAGCAUGACCAAAAGACAAAACAACUAAAAAUUAAGUGAUGCCAGUCUUUAAACAGUCUUUUUCCUCCUUUGUAUGAGAAAUUUCCUUGUUGUAGUGGAAAUGCUAAGUCAAGUUUGUAGAACACUGAAGCAGCGAUGGAGCAGCUGGUGUGAAGGCAAGGCCAGCCCAGGGAAGCUCAGCUGCAUGCAAUGUACCUGAGUGACUAGAAGGGCUGGAGCCAGCAUUCCACCCCUUCUCAGACUUCAUUUAAGGGUUGGCAGUGGAGGUGAGGGUAUCUUGCUGGAGAUCCCUGCCUACCUGAGGCCCUCCAAAGGUAUGCAGCUUUUUACCUUUGUUCCUGUAAUAGCUGUAUUUCAUUAACAGGCCUAUAAGGUCAGGCUGGCUGCCCAAAUCAACUUUGCCUUGCUGCUUCCCUUUUGGAUUGGGACUGUUCUGUCAUACGUUAUUUCUGCAUUAGUUAUGCACCCUCUGUUUUGUUAGCACCAUGUCUAUUCCUAGUUUCUUUCCCUCUCGGUACAAAAAUUCUAGCUGUCAGCAAUGAUCCUUAAAUAAGUCAUGGGGCUGUAAUUACUACCUCGCUUCCAUUGUUAUUUAGGACUCACAACAACCCUCACCCCAUAAAGAGUUUUGUUUUUAGCAUUUUUUUAAUUACCUUGAAACCUUUCCUACACGAAUGCAGGUUGGGGGCAAGGGGAUGUACAGUGGCACAUAGUUAAGAUUUGUUGUGCCUCUUCCUAUCUGGAAUCCUUAAAGUGAAUUGGCAGGGGGAAAAAAAAAGCAUAUAUGACUGUAAUAUAUAGAAAUACGUUUCUAUUAAUAAGGAAUUAUUUACUGAGAUGCAUUUGCUCCUAUGGUAGCACAUGAAUGCAAAAGGGUAUAAAUGCCAUCGUGUAGAACUUUCAAAACAACAACAAAAGCAAAAAAAACCAACAACAAAAAAAAAUGUGCUUUAGAAGUCAUGGAAAGUAUGAUUACAAAUCAAUGGUGGGACUCACAAAGCACUGUCAAUUGGCAGACAGCUCUAGGAUAAGGGUAAACUGUGUGUGUGUAGCAGUCAGCUGCUGAGCUUGAAGGGAGAAAAACAUUCUGGGGUGGAAAGAGGGAACAGAAGCUGCCAAGAGCACUUCUUCAGGCUUCAGGUAAAGUACUCACCAAGAGCAAUUUUUCAGGUAAAAGUGUUUUUACUAACACUCUUUAUAAACGCUCUACACACAAUCAUAUCUUUGUUAAGUUAAAAAAAGACCUCAAAUAUCAUAAAGUACAACCCCCCCCUUCCCACUAACCCCAUCUCUUGGUGCCACAUCUCCACAGUUCUGGAAUGCCUCCAAAGACGAUGACUCCACCACUUCCCAGGAAGGCUGUUUCAACACCUGGCCACUCUUUCUGAGAAGACAUUUCUCUUAAUAUCCAAGCUGUCUUGUUUUCCUUUAGGGUAGGAUUGUAAGGAAUGCAGACCACUUUCUCAGCACUUCGGUUUUUUUAUCUGCCUGAUUUGCUGAAGGACAGUCCAAAUGGUUUCUGGUCCAGCAUUGUGCCAUCUAUCUACAUCUCUAUCUCCUCCAGCUGCAGAAGACAGUGGGUGGUGUCAUCUGAAGUCUGGAAUCAUCAAUGUAUCAGCAGAAAGCAGUAAUUAAAAAGCUUUCCUAGGCCUCUGGCACCUAAUGGGUUAUCAGAAACAAGAAUUGUUAUGUGGCCACCGACCACUGCACAGCACCUGCAGCUUCGUUGCAGAGAUGCUCCCGUUGCUUGCUGGGACGUAUCAUCGCUUAUGCCCUUUUCACAUCAUUCUCCGUUCCCGCAUCUACCCGCGCUCGUCGCGGCAGGCGACACCGCCGCGCAGCACCACCGCCCCGACCCCACCGGGCGCGGUCACCUCACAGUCUAACGGCCGCUGCGCGAGCGAGAGGCGGCAGCCAAUGGGGAGAGCGGGAAGCGCCGCCGCCAAUCAGAGAGCAGGCGGGGCUGGAUUUGAACGCGGCGGCCGAGACGGUUGUCGGCCGGCAGCAGUCUGUCCCCUCUCGGUCUCCUGCCUGCGUUGAUGAAGAACAGGAACAAGAUGGCAUCUAUGCUUCAAAAUGUCAGGGCAACAAUGGACUGGCAGAGACACCUGCUUUUAGCUGACUUUGAGAAUGAGAGCCCUGUACCAGACAAAUACAGGAGAAAAACUUCUUUCAGUUCUCUUAAUACUAUCGGCAUGUCUCUAAGAAAGCGAAUACCGUUAAAGCAAGUAGAGCUGAAUUUCCAUGAGACACCACUUUGGGAAAACAUGGAAGAAAGAAAGAAAAGCCAAGUGCUCCAAAGUAUUACAAAAACAGCAAGAAAUGCUUUUGGAACAGUGUCACAGAAAAUACGGAAGACUUGCCAAAGGCCAAUACAUUCAACUGUGACCCUUCCAGCUGAAGACACCAGCAGCAGCUCCGCAACCAGUUUUUCCAAGAAAAGAAGAACAGUACAAACACCUUGCCUUAGUAUAAACAGUGUUACUUCAGCAGCUAGUUCUACAUGCACACCAAGGUCCAGCAGAAGAUGCUUGCUUUGGCCAACAAGGUUGUCAGAACAUACAAAAUUGACGGGUUUCCCAUCUUGGCGUGGUGAAGAUGCUGUCCCACUCGAGAUCAAGGAGAGCAUCAACAGCACUGAAGAGCCUCUGUUCAUCACCUACUCCUGCCAGCAGAAGAAUGCACCAUGCAAUAUCAAACUACUGCUAUUCUAAUGGCAUGAAGUUUGCAGCCUGUGCAUCAAUCUUGGGAACUUCCUCAGGCUGUCAGAAGGCAAGGAAAGAAACUCCGUUCAGCAACUGGUGCCUGGACAGAGAUGGCUAUAAAUACCGUUAGUUUAUGAAUAUAUAUAAAGGAAAACUUCAUUUGAGAUAUGAGACUAUACCUUAUACUCUGCAUAGAACUGUGUGCUUUAAAAAACAAUUACAUUUUAUAAUAUUUUUGGCAGAGCAGUCUAAAACUACUCUUCCCUUGCUUUUGCUGUUCAAGUCAACUAGAGAAAUAAAUCUGAACCACAGUGUACUACCUAUCUUCUGCUGAGACAAUGGACUAUCUUCAAUGGGGCUUUCACAACUUUCAUAAAGCACUAAGUAGGAAUGGUCAAAGCAAGGGCAGAGAUCUACAAAUGAUGAUCAUAGGAAAGAGUAAUAUUCAGAUCCUCCUAUGUAUUAUGAAAGCACUGAUCUGUUAUUUUCAAAGCUUAACAAUUUAUCUUAUUUUUUUAAUACUAACAAAUCAAAAGCUAACUUUACAUGUUAAAAAAUGUUUUAAAGUUUAAAAUGUUAACUAUAAUGCUUAAAGAAACAAUGAUUGCUAUUUGAGUUUUGACCACAACUGCCAUUCCAAGUCAGCAGGUUUCUGUACUCAUUUCAAAGUCACAACAGUGGAGCCAUGUUAGGACUCCAACUCACAGCCCAAGGAUUGCUGUUAAGUAAGUGAGCCCAAGUAGUUCUACCCUAAAUCAUAGCAACUUAAUUUUUUGCUCCUAUUUUAAAUACCGUAAUGGCAGCAGAGUUAAACAUUGCUUUUGUACAACACCAUUUGUCAUUUAGUUAUAUGCAGAAAUUGCUUAUCAGUUAAUAUACAUAAGUUGCUCUGAAAGUAAUGCCUUAUAUUUAUUUCCAUAAAUAUUCAGCAAGUGCUGAUGAAUGUCAGUGGGUGCCAUUUUUUUUCCCCCACACCAAGGAAUUCAGUUCCUCACCUUUGCUUCAUACAGAUCCUAUUUUGUCAGACUGCCACUCUCUGUUGCAUGACAAAAUGUAACAGAAUAAUUGUUUUAAAUCACUAAGAAGAUUCAACCUGUAUUGCCAUGCUACCAACAUAUGUUUCUGAUGUUGCAGGCCAACAUCAUAAAAUGAGAGGCAUUCAUUUUGGAGCAAUGUUCUUAUUAUAACUACUGUUAUUUGCUGAUACAAUGCAGGCAUUCUGCUCAAUGAAGUAUACUAGGCAUUUGACACAUGUCUUUCAAACUUAAGCAAAGAUUUCUUAAGCUUCUAGAAUUCAACAGCUAUUUCUACAGUAGCAGUUUUGUGCAAGUUUUGGAAUUUACCUUCUACUCUAAGCUGAACCUUCAAACAAAAGACAGAUUCAGAGAACUUUUCUGUACAGUGACUUUUAAGAUGCACGUGUAAUUUGGUAAAACUGGAACAGCUAGAAUGUUAAUGAUAUUAAGUAUAAAUGUAGGAAACAGUCAUGUUCGAUUCUGAUUAAAGUACUGAUUUUUAAACUUGUUUCUGAUUUCCUUUUUACCUGUUAAACUAAUUUAUUAAAUAAUGAAAUAAUUAGCAAGCUCUGGAAGCACGAAGACAACCCAGCCUUCAGAUGACUGGUGAGAAUGUUAUUUUUCUUUUUUUUUUUUUUUUUUUAAACAAACUGAACCAACUAAACAAAAAACCCACUGCCUUUGUAUAUGGAACAGUAGUUUAAGUUACUCUUUGUAUGUACUGAGACUGCUUCUAUAAAAUUUUAUAAAAAAGGAUGGUGUCUCAUUAUUGAAGUAUCUUCUCAUAUUACUUUUGAAAAAUGAGGAGGGUUGGAGUUCACAGGUUGACUUCUAUUCACAAACUGAAGUUUUACCCCAGAUGGUCACCCAUAUUAAACAGCUUGUAUACUGUUUCUACUUGUUACUAAAACAUGCAAACGAUGAUCUAAGACUUCCAAUACCAUUGAUAAGAAGAGUCUGGAACACUGCUUGCUUAAAGGCAAGGAAGGUUUUAUUUAAGUGAUUAAUAUAAGAUUUUAAAAACCAGCUCACAUCAAAAUCUAUACGAGUUGUAGAAAUCUUACUCCUUAUUUCAUAUUAAGAAAUGCAUUAUUGUACAUUUUUGAAUCUUUACAAGGCAGCCAUAAGAAAUAUAAACAUUUGUUACCAGAUAGAACCUUCUCACUGACCAACAACAUUUAAAAUUUACACUCAAUAAAACUACAGACUGAAAGAACAUGUACAAUUUCAAGUUUACUUAUAGGAAUUAAGUUCUAAGUGGACUGCCCUUUCCCCUCCCCAGCAAAUAGAAAAAUAUAUUAGGGAGACAGCUUGGGGUUCUGUGAGAGAACUGCCAUUUUGGCCUCUACCCCAGAGGUCCCAGAAUUGCUAACCCUUAGAGGCUCCAAUUUUUAAGUUACAUAGUAAUCUCUAUUAACUCAUAUCUCAGCAGUAAACCUGUUUCUUUUUCUCUUUCCCCCUCUCUUCCUCCACUUGAGUUCUAUACAACCUUAUCAAUUAAUGAUCUGCCAAAAUUUUUCUCAUGCUCCUCUAUCCUCUGAACAAUGCUAUCCAAUUUUAAAGGUAGCUUAUUGGGUUAAAUAAAAAUAGAAAAAUUUUUAUCCCCUUACCUUGGGCUUAAUCUGAAAGGAGGGAGAGAGGGAAUACAACACCUUACUUUGAUUCCAGAGUCCACGGCACAGGAUUCUAUCUGCUCCAGGACAUUUCCUAUUUUUGAAGAAAAAGGGCUCUCUUCAUCCAGAAAGGUGUGUGAUUACCUUUUUUUCUUUUUUCUUUUUAAAAAAAGGAAUUUAGGAUCAUAAAUAGAAACUUAAAGUUACAGCUGAAUGAUUAAAUAGUAUUGAAGUCAAAUUACCUUGUUAAAAUCACAAUUUCUACUGAAGCUAUGAACAUAGAUCAUAAAGAAUCACUGCUCUCACAGAAGCUGAGGAAGAAAGCUGGAAAUGUUUGCGAUCAGGGAAUUCUAUCUUGUACCCAACUCCAGAUGUAAAUAAGAAGUGCCACUUUCUCCCUUGCAUGAUGGAAAUGAACAGUUCAAUGCAGAAUUCUUGACUUAAGUUUUUGUAUUUCAAGCUGAAACCAGAACAAAUUAUGAAACCACACCAUAUAAUCUCUUCCUCUUUCCGCUAUUAAGCCAACAAGCUUAUUAAGAAAGGGUCCACAUUGGAAUUGUCUAGUACUUUUAUAACAUACUCACUAUCUGUAGUUUACAGGCAAAAGGAGGAAAAAUGUGGGAAAUCCUAUCUGUUUAGUAACAGUUACUGCAGCAGUUACAAAUUAUAAAAGCUGAAAAUACCUUUGGUUUUCUGGUAUAAUUAAGAAUGCUUUCAAAUGAAGUUUUUAACACAUUUAGGACAGGAAGCAAUAUAAAAGGAGGAUGAAUUUCAUUUUUCCCUUCUGAAUUUAUACUGUUGAAAAUCCAUGAUAAUUCUACAGCCUUAACUAUUGGGGAUUAACUUAAAUACACAUAUUAACAGUGCCAUGAUAUUGCAAUGUGUAAAAUACACAACGUGUUCACUAACAAAAGCAAACAGAGGCUAUUUUGCAAAAUGGUGGAGCUUCAAGAUAAAUGUCACUGUUUUUAUUUUAAUUGUAGAUGAAAGUAUCAAGUUUAUUUCUCUGUGGUUUCCUGAUAGCUGCACUUCUACAUAACGAGUAAAAAGUUUUAAUUUUGUUAAGAAAUUAUUUCCCUACGUAGUAGAGAAGUGAUAUGUAAGAAUGAAAGGCUAUUUUCAUCCAAACAAAUCAAAACAGCAAUUCUCACGAAUCCCUAAGGAAUGAGAGGAAUGAUCAAUACCAUGUCAAUUUUACACUUGACAAAAUUUUUAUGCAGGAUAUAAAUCAUGCCACAAAACUAAAUAGGUGUAAUUUGUCAAACAAGAACCUGUUCCAAGUGCACUAGCGAAUACAAGUAUUUUUUUAAUUGAAUAAACACAGCCAUUGUUUAAAAAAAAAUUACAAUUGUGCUGUGAAAGCAGAAACAAAACAUCACUUAAGGUUGCUUUCAGUAGUUACACAAAGAUGCCACAGUGUCACUGUGUGUUUUCACAAUAUCUCAAAUCUUGAUAAGUCUAAAAUGGCCACUGAUUACAGUUGUUUUUAGUUUUUGUUUAAUACAGUAAUUUAAAACUGGAUAUACAUCAACAAUUCAAAGAAGUGCGCGCUUUCAGGUGUGGCCCACUUUGUACUGACUUGUACUACCACUUCAGCAUUCACUGAAAUAACAGCUUUGUGUUUCACACUUUCACUUCUGCCUCUUCUGUUUGGCAGAUCAAGUGUAAGUGCUUCUCUGUAAUAUACAGCUUCUCUGUCUGUUUCUAUUCUGUGGAGAGGCUUCAAAACUUCCACAGACUGUAAGGUUAAAGAAAGUGCUGACUGUACAGAGAAUGCAGCAGUGAGGAACAGUAGAAAACUGAAAGACUAUAAGAUCAUGCUCGAUCUCAGUGAAUGGCCUGCUCAGGAGGCCUGAUUAUGCCUCCAUGAUAACAGAAGUGAAACUGUAAUCUCAAUAGAAAAUGAAUGCCUGUGAACAGCCACGUGGUUUUAUGUAGACAAAGUAUAAAACUAAAGCACUGACUAGAAACAAAUGUUCCAGGAGAAAAUGGGAUUGAAGAAAACAUGCUGUAAAAAACUAGCAAUUCAUCAGGGAUUGUCCCAAACAUAACUGGGGAAAAAAAGGCCAAAAAAAUCCCAAGUAAUUGAAGUCCUUAAUCAUGUCCACAGAGUACUGAACUGCCAACUUAGCUGUGAGAUGCCUAAAUCACUACCACCUCUUUCAUACUCUUAUCUCCAACAUAAAAUCUGUGUCAUUUUAGUGUCAGCUGGCUAGAGCUUUCAAAAGAAAUGCAUCUCAUGUUUGUGAAGAUAAGCUCCAAAUAAGCAUGAAGCCUUAACCUACAAACUGAUGUCUGCAUCACUGUUUGUCAAAAUGCUCAGAUGGAGGCAUGCUACCAGGCGAUGAACCAUUCUAUCCCUGAGCAUUAGUAGUGCUGGCAUGAUGAAAUGACCAUGUGAGUUCUCAUAGGAAACAAAGUUAGGGAAAAUAUUUCCAGCUGAAUUCCAGUACUAUGUUUAGAGACUGAAUUGUUACCACUCUAAAUCAAGCAUGAAGAGUAGCACUUCUUUUACUACUUUUAGCUCAUAAUAUACUGUAUAUACAUAUAUAGAACCAACACAGUGGCUAAAAAAAAAACCCAAAACCUGUGAGAGUCAUCUGACCUUGUGUUCAUAUGAAGUCUUUUAACAACAGUCACAGAAUCACAUACAGAUCUCUCUUUUGAAAAGAAAUAGGUCUUUUUAUGUUAGCAACUUAAAUCAGAAAAUGGAUUUUGGCAUCUCCUGGCUUGUAGAGGUAGACAGCUAAAGCAGAAUUAAUUUUGCUAAUACUAGUAGGUAUAGUGAUUACUAUGAGGAGACAUGCUACCCAGCAGUCAGUGCUUAAGAAAGUAAGUUCAAAUUCUGCAGUCAGUGUUGACUUUAUGUCCUCUAAGCAAAUGUCAAGUCUGCUCUUUGCAUUCCUCCACUCUUCAAUUCAUUCACCUAUUUAAAACCAACAACCAAGAGCAUGCUCGAAAUACUUAUGUUCCAUUGGGCUUGCUCUGGCAAGAGUCAAAACUGCCAGUCAUUAAAACACGAGAAAAUAGAAUGUUUGUUUUCCUAGGAGGCUGCCAAAACUGCUCUGUAAUAUCAGUUACGUAUUGGUCAGACACCGGGCUACUGUGGCUAGUCUUUUCAGAGGAUGUACUCUGGGCAUCUUUUUUUUUUUUUUUUUUUUUUUUUUUUUUU